CUUGCAGCCAUAUCACAUUGAAAUACUGGUUCUCAAACAAUCACUGAAGUUAAGCAAUGUUGAGUCUGGUCAGUACCUAAAUGGGUGACCACUUGGGGAUACCGAGUGC